rnacentral:lncRNA from 1 species
ACGGUGGGCUCCACAUAGUAAAUAACAAUGCGAAAAUGUCAAGUUUUGGUGCGUAUUAUUUUGACGUUGUUUUUCUUCACGUUUACAACAGUUAUAAUAAAAACAUGAAUGAGCAGAGGGCAAAAAAACAGAGUUAUGCUUACUUUGCUGUUGUUGUAUACGGUAUUUUUUUGGUAAAAUGAUAAAAAAAAAUUAUCGAAAUAGUGUUAAGUUGUAUCAUCUAACUUGAAACUCUUCGAAUGAGCAGAGGCAAAAUGAUAAAAAAAAAAUUACCAAAAUAGUGUCAAGUUGUGACAUCGAACUUGAAUACGAUAUAUAUUUGGAUAAACAGAACUUGGGUUCACCCCUACGGUGGACCCUCUAAUUCACCACAAUCUUUAACACCAAUCAAAUUGCCACAUAAAAUUAAUA